rnacentral:tRNA from 1 species
UUAACAGAAGCCAAAAAGAGGCAUAUCACUGUUAAUGAUAUUAAUGAAAUUUUUUUUCCUGUUAAG